GACUCUCGGCAACGGAUAUCUUGGCUCACGCAUCGAUGAAGAACGUAGCAAAAUGCGAUACUUGGUGUGAAUUGCAGAAUCCCGUGAACCAUCGAGUUUUUGAACGCAAGUUGCGCCCGAAGCCUUUUGGUCAAGGGCACGUCUGCCUGGGUGUCACAU
rnacentral:rRNA from 1 species